CCUACGGGAGGCAGCAGUAGGGAAUAUUGGACAAUGGACGCAAGUCUGAUCCAGCCAUCCCGCGUGAAGGAUUAAGGCCCUAUGGGUUGUAAACUUCUUUUCUUUGGGAAUAAAAAGCGGUAUUCAUAUCGCCUUGAAGGUACCAGAGGAAUAAGCACCGGCUAACUCCGUGCCAGCAGCCGCGGUAAUACGGAGGGUGCAAGCGUUAUCCGGAUUCACUGGGUUUAAAGGGUGCGUAGGUGGCUUUGUAAGUCAGCGGUGAAAGCCUGGAGCUCAACUCCAGAAUUGCCAUUGAUACUGCAGAGCUUGAAUCAAGUUGAGGUGGAUGGAAUAUUACAUGUAGCGGUGAAAUGCUUAGAUAUGUAAUAGAACACCGAUUGCGAAGGCAGUUCACUAAGCUUGUAUUGACACUGAGGCACGAAAGCGUGGGGAUCAAACAGGAUUAGAUACCCUGUAGUCACGCCCUAAACGAUGCAAACUCGACAUUAGCGAUAUACGAGUUAGUGUCCGAAGACCGAAAGUCGUUAAAGGUUUCGACCCGACCGAGGUAAGGUACGUACCGACGUUAAGUAAGUUAAAGUUAAAGGUAAGUUAGGACGGCGUGAGACGACGACGACGACGACGACGGAGGGAGGAGG
rnacentral:rRNA from 1 species